UACGUAGGGUGCGAGCGUUAAUCGGAAUUACUGGGCGUAAAGGGCGCGUAGGCGGCCUUCUAAGUCGAACGUGAAAUCCCCGGGCUCAACCCGGGAACUGCGUCCGAUACUGGAAGGCUUGAAUCCGGGAGAGGGAUGCGGAAUUCCAGGUGUAGCGGUGAAAUGCGUAGAUAUCUGGAGGAACACCGGUGGCGAAGGCGGCAUCCUGGACCGGCAUUGACGCUGAGGCGCGAAGGCCAGGGGAGCAAAGCGGG
rnacentral:rRNA from 1 species